rnacentral:rRNA from 1 species
UACGUAGGGGGCAAGCGUUGUCCGGAAUCAUUGGGCGUAAAGAGCGUGUAGGCGGCCCGGUAAGUCCGCUGUGAAAGUCCAGGGCUCAACCCUGGGAUGCCGGUGGAUACUGUCGGGCUCGAGUCCGGAAGAGGAGUGUGGAAUUCCGUGGUGUAGCGGUGAAAUGCGCAGAUAUCAGGAGGAACACCAAUGGCGAAGGCGGCUCACUGGCCCGAUGACUGACGCUGAGGCA